ACGCUCGACACCUACAGGAGGCAGCAGUGGGGAAUAUUGCACAAUGGGGGAAACCCUGAUGCAGCAACGCCGCGUGAGCGAAGAAGUAUUUCGGUAUGUAAAGCUCUAUCAGCAGGGAAGAAAGUGACGGUACCUGAGUAAGAAGCCCCGGCUAACUACGUGCCAGUAGCCGCGGUAAUCUGAGCGGGCUGGCAAGGC
rnacentral:rRNA from 1 species